rnacentral:rRNA from 1 species
GACGAACGCUGGCGGCGUGCUUAACACAUGCAAGUCGAACGGAAAGGCCCUGCGUUUGUGGGGUGCUCGUGUGGCGAACAGGUGAGUAACACGUGUGUAACCUGCCCUUGACUUUCGGAUAACUUCAGGGAACUGGGGCGAAUACCGGAUAGGAGCUCCUGCUGCAUGGUGGGGGUUGGAAAGAUUCGGCCGUUGGGGAUGGACUCGCGGCUUAUCAGCUGGAUGGUGGGGUAGUGGUUUACCAAGGCUUUGACGGGUAGCCGGCCUGAGAGGGUGACCGGCCACAUUGGGACUGAGAUACGGCCCAGACUCCUACGGGACGCAGCAGUGGGGAAUAUUGCACAAUGGGCGGAAGCGUGAUGCAGCAACGCCGCGUGCGGGAUGACGGCCUUCGGGUUGUAAACAGAUUUCGCAUGUGCCGAAGAGUGCGUGACGGUACCGGGUCAAGAAGCACCGGCUAACUACGUG